UACGAAGGGGGCUAGCGUUGCUCGGAAUUACUGGGCGUAAAGGGCGCGUAGGCGGAUAGUUUAGUCAGAGGUGAAAGCCCAGGGCUCAACCUUGGAACUGCCUUUGAUACUGGCUAUCUUGAGUUCGGGAGAGGUGAGUGGAAUGCCGAGUUGUAGAGGUGAAAUUCGUAGAUAUUCGGCGGAACACCAGUGGCGAAGGCGACUCACUGGCCCGAUACUGACGCUGAGGUGCGAAAGCGUGGGGAGCAAACAGG
rnacentral:rRNA from 1 species